ACGUAGGUGGCGAGCGUUAUCCGGAUUUACUGGGUGUAAAGGGCGUGUAGGCGGUUUCUCAAGUCGGAUGUGAAAUUCCCAGGCUUAACCUGGGAGCUGCAACCGAAACUGGGGAACUUGAGUACUGGAGAGGAUAGCGGAAUUCCUAGUGUAGCGGUAAAAUGCGUAGAUAUUAGGAGGAACACCGGUGGCGAAGGCGGCUAUCUGGACAGUAACUGACGCUGAGGCGCGAAAGCGUGGGGAGCAAACAG
rnacentral:rRNA from 1 species